ACAGUGGAACGACUCAAAACCCAUCUGUGAAGGUAAGAAGCUAGACUUAGAUUAAAUUGUAGUAGUGCACUGUGUGACAGUUCUUUUGCUAUUAAGCUUAAGACACUAAGAUGACACCCUCAGGGUGCUCUGUUUCCAAGUAUCUUGCUAAUAGGUUAGACACACAACAAAUUUAUCAAAUGUAAAAUGAAAAGGAGUCCACGGUUGAUUUCUUUAUUUGUUCUACUUACUUGUCCAGCUUCUCCAGCUCACUCUUUCUUGAGUGACCCUGUAGUAACUGGCCUGACCGUAGCAGGAGGUGCUACUGCUUUCUCCAGCCUUGCUCUGGCUGCCUGGAUACUGAAGAAACUCAAGCAGAAAGCUGAAAAGUUUGAUUUAAGUGACUCAGACAUUGAUGUGUCGCCCCAAGUAUACAAAAGCAAUGACAGUCUAAUUUAGAGAUCAACAAAUACAACAACUUUUUUACGUUGCACUAGCAGUUUUGCAAGAAUAUUUUCUCCAGAAGAAACGAAUACUCUCGGAAAUGGAAAAUGAAUUAGGGUUGAUCCUCGAUACACUGUACUGUGACUGAACAAAUAUACUGUACUGAAUAUUUUUAAUUAUUUAUUUUAUUAUCUUCCCAGUGGAAGUAUUUAUUAUGUUAUUUAUUGAACACAUUGUUCUGUGGUAUUUUUGUGUUGACUUUUGAAUAUGAAGAAAUGUUUGGUAUUUUGUUUAAUGUUUUUGAAUAUAUUUAGAACAGCUACUAUGGUUACUGUGCCUUAUCCUGUGUUUUUCAUAGAGCCAAGUUUAUGUGAUUCAAACAAUUAAAAUCAGGUAUUGUGUAUACAUUUUGACAAUGUAUUGAUACUACAUGUUUAUGUAACCAUAAACUUUUUUUUUUUUUUUACAUUUUUUGUGAAACUACAAUACCUAUGUUUGGGGCAGUUUCCUUUAGAGGGAUUAAGCCUAGUUUAUUAAGAAUUCAUUAAGCCAGCAUUUGGAAUUUUUAUUUUCUACUGAAAUAAAAAUAUAUUCUACAUCUAGUCUUUAUCCCUG
rnacentral:lncRNA from 1 species